AUGAAAUCGCAGCACAGGAAGCUCCCCACCCCGACGCCAUCCGUCUCGACGGCGACGCUCCUCCUGCUCCCGCUCGCGCUCCUCGCCGCCGUGCUCAUGGUCGUGUACCCCAACGAGUUCGCCCUUCAGUCGUCGCUCGCCGGCGCCGGCUGCCCCGACGGCGCCAGCGUCGCGGCGCGCCACGUCGUCGCGCAGGCGGCCCCGGACUUCCGGCUGCUCAUGGGCGUGCUGACCCUGCCGAGCCGGUACGAGCGGCGGCACCUGCUCCGCACGUUGUACGCGCUCCAGCAGCCGAACCUGACGGCGCGCGUCGACGUCCGCUUCUUCUUCUGCCGGAUCGAGUCGGAGGAGCAGCGCCUGCUGGUGGCGCUGGAGGCGAUGCGGUACGGCGACGUGGUGGAGCUGGACUGCCCGGAGAACAUGGACAACGGCAAGACGCACUCCUACUUCUCCAGCGUGCCGGCGCUCUUCGGCGCCGAGGCCUACGACUUCGUGAUGAAGGCCGACGACGACACCUUCUUCCGGCUGCCGCAGCUGGCGGAGUCGCUCGGCCGCGCGCCCAGGGAAGACCUCUACUACGGCUGCAUGGUGCCGUGCGACUACGUGCGCGGGUGGAACGAGUACAUGUCCGGCAUGGGGUACGUCAUCUCGUGGGACCUCGUGGAGUGGAUCGUGGCGGCGGCGGACCGGAUCAGGAACCACACGGCCGGGCCGGAGGACAGGACGCUCUACUCCUGGUUCAGCGGCGCCGGGAAGGCCAAGAACCGGGUGGACGUGAAGCCGGCCAUGUACGACUUCCCGCAGCGAGGCGCCCCCUGCGCCCACGAGCUCGUGCCGGACACCAUCGCCGUGCACCGGCUCAAGAACAACUUCAGGUGGUCCACCACGCUCAAGUACUUCAACUUCACCGCCGGGCUCCAGCCCUCCAAGUUCUAUCGCGUCGUUUGA
rnacentral:rRNA from 1 species